AAGUGCAUAAUGCUUUGAGCUCAGAAAUUCAUCAUGUAGGGAACAACCAGGAGAGGCUAAAUGUCAAUGUACAGACUAUAGAAGACAGUCAUCCCCAACAUGAGACUCCUGUCUUAGAUGUUGAAGUUAGAGAAGAGUCAGUUCAGAGAGUAGCAGAUGUUACAAACCAACCAGAGUUUCAGUUGUUAUCUCUGACUACUGAGGCAGCAACAGCAACACCACCACCUUCUCCUUUUGCAUAUGUAAAUACUGGGACUCCAACAGUACGUAUCACAGUUCA